CCUACGGGGCGCUGCAGUGGGGAAUAUUGGACAAUGGGCGAAAGCCUGAUCCAGCCAUGCCGCGUGUGUGAAGAAGGCCUUCGGGUUGUAAAGCACUUUCAGUGGGGAAGAAAGCCUUGGGGCUAAUACCCUCGAGGAAGGACAUCACCCACAGAAGAAGCACCGGCUAACUCCGUGCCAGCAGCCGCGGUAAUACGGAGGGUGCGAGCGUUAAUCGGAAUUACUGGGCGUAAAGCGCGCGUAGGCGGUCUGAUAAGCCGGUUGUGAAAGCCCCGGGCUCAACCUGGGAACGGCAUCCGGAACUGUCAGGCUAGAGUGCAGGAGAGGAAGGUAGAAUUCCCGGUGUAGCGGUGAAAUGCGUAGAGAUCGGGAGGAAUAUCAGUGGCGAAGGCGGCCUUCUGGACUGACACUGACGCUGAGGUGCGAAAGCGUGGGUAGCAAACAGGAUUAGAUACCCCGGUAGUC
rnacentral:rRNA from 1 species